AUUGAACGCUGGCGGCAUGCUUUACACAUGCAAGUCGAACGGUAACAGGCCGCAAGGUGCUGACGAGUGGCGAACGGGUGAGUAAUGCAUCGGAACGUGCCCAGUCGUGGGGGAUAACGCAGCGAAAGCUGCGCUAAUACCGCAUACGAUCUAUGGAUGAAAGCGGGGGACCGGAAGGCCUCGCGCGAUUGGAGCGGCCGAUGUCAGAUUAGGUAGUUGGUGGGGUAAAGGCUCACCAAGCCAACGAUCUGUAGCUGGUCUGAGAGGACGACCAGCCACACUGGGACUGAGACACGGCCCAGACUCCUACGGGAGGCAGCAGUGGGGAAUUUUGGACAAUGGGCGCAAGCCUGAUCCAGCAAUGCCGCGUGCAGGAAGAAGGCCUUCGGGUUGUAAACUGCUUUUGUACGGAACGAAAAGGCUCUGGAUAAUACCUGGGGCUCAUGACGGUACCGUAAGAAUAAGCACCGGCUAACUACGUGCCAGCCGCCGCCGUAAAAC
rnacentral:rRNA from 1 species